rnacentral:rRNA from 1 species
GGGUUGUGAGGUUAAGCGACUAAGCGUACACGGUGGAUGCCCUGGCAGUCAGAGGCGAUGAAGGACGUGCUAAUCUGCGAUAAGCGUCGGUGAGGUGAUAUGAACCGUUAUAACCGGCGAUUUCCGAAUGGGGAAACCCAGUGUGUUUCGACACACUAUCAUUAACUGAAUCCAUAGGUUAAUGAGGCGAACCGGGGGAACUGAAACAUCUAAGUACCCCGAGGAAAAGAAAUCAACCGAGAUUCCCCCAGUAGCGGCGAGCGAACGGGGAGGAGCCCAGAGCCUGAAUCAGUGUGUGUGUUAGUGGAAGCGUCUGGAAAGGCGCGCGAUACAGGGUGACAGCCCCGUACACAAAAAUGCACAUACUGUGAGCUCGAUGAGUAGGGCGGGACACGUGGUAUCCUGUCUGAAUAUGGGGGGACCAUCCUCCAAGGCUAAAUACUCCUGACUGACCGAUAGUGAACCAGUACCGUGAGGGAAAGGCGAAAAGAACCCCGGCGAGGGGAGUGAAAAAGAACCUGAAACCGUGUACGUACAAGCAGUGGGAGCCUCUUAAUGGGGUGACUGCGUACCUUUUGUAUAAUGGGUCAGCGACUUAUAUUCUGUAGCAAGGUUAACCGAAUAGGGGAGCCGAAGGGAAACCGAGUCUUAACUGGGCGUUAAGUUGCAGGGUAUAGACCCGAAACCCGGUGAUCUAGCCAUGGGCAGGUUGAAGGUUGGGUAACACUAACUGGAGGACCGAACCGACUAAUGUUGAAAAAUUAGCGGAUGACUUGUGGCUGGGGGUGAAAGGCCAAUCAAACCGGGAGAUAGCUGGUUCUCCCCGAAAGCUAUUUAGGUAGCGCCUCGUGAAUUCAUCUCCGGGGGUAGAGCACUGUUUCGGCAAGGGGGUCAUCCCGACUUACCAACCCGAUGCAAACUGCGAAUACCGGAGAAUGUUAUCACGGGAGACACACGGCGGGUGCUAACGUCCGUCGUGAAGAGGGAAACAACCCAGACCGCCAGCUAAGGUCCCAAAGUCAUGGUUAAGUGGGAAACGAUGUGGGAAGGCCCAGACAGCCAGGAUGUUGGCUUAGAAGCAGCCAUCAUUUAAAGAAAGCGUAAUAGCUCACUGGUCGAGUCGGCCUGCGCGGAAGAUGUAACGGGGCUAAAC